AUUUGUCCCCUAAAUAGGGACUUGUAUGAACGGCUAAAUGAGGUUCUAACUGUCUCAUUAGACUAAUCAAUGAAACUGAUCUUUCAGUACAAAAGCUGAAAUAAACUCAUAAGACGAGAAGACCCUGUGGAGCUUAAAACAAAUACUAUAAUCUUUUUAGUUGGGGCGACUUUGGAACAAAACAAAACUUCCAUGUCAGGCCCCUAUCAAGGCCAACACGCCAAAACAACUACUUAUUGAUCCAGCAACCACGAAGCUGACCAACGAACCAAGUUACCCCAGGGAUAACAGCGCCAUCCCCUUCAAGAGUCCCUAUCGACAAGGGGGUUUACGACCUCGAUGUUGGAUCAGGACACCCAGGUGGUGCAACCGCUA
rnacentral:rRNA from 1 species